ensembl:lncRNA
UUGAGAAGGUUUUAUAAUUUUAAUUUUUUUAUUAUCCGUUAAGUGGCUGGUCAUGUUUAUUACACUUAGAAUGACAGGAAAGGAUGGAUUUACAUUCAUUCAUUUUGAAAAACAGCACAGCUCAAGCACACACGGACAUGAGAGAGACACAGAUCACAUACGCAUUUUGAAAAGUACAGUACAUAGUAGUAACGGUACUUAAAUUGUAUAAACAUUUCAGUAUUUCAACUUCCUCAUUGGACAAAAAAUACUUUAUCAAAUAUAGUUAGUUACAUAGAGCACCAUGUUGAAAAUGUGUUUGAAAAAUCCUUUAUAGGAAAUUCGCACUUUGGUAAAAAUCUUUUUGCAUAGUAGCCAAACAAUGAAGAUACUGAACAUACAAUUAAUUAUAUAAAACAUUUAGGAGUACCAUGUCGGGACAGGAUAUGUACAAUAAUAUUAGUGUUUUAUCCAGAUGAUAAAUCAAUUUUUUGGAAAGAUUUUUUUUUUUUUUUUUUUAUGUUUCCCAAAAUUAAUUUAGAAAUUUUAGACAAACCCACUCAAGACUCAACGCCCUAACAACACCAACUACAUAGAAAGACAAAGACACUUAACUAAUUACAAAGGGAUAUUGACUAUAAUGGCUCUCUCUGCUUUGUAAAAUUGUUAGCCAGAAAUAUUCAGGAAAAAUUAUAUAUAUAUAUCUAGACACAGACACCAGACAAGACUUAAAACCACUCUUUGCUCAGAGAAAUGCACUGGACAUUUCUUCACACUUACAAUAGGCAUGACGGUCAAGUUGCGUAGCUUGUAACCGGCCUUUUAACCUUCAAAUUCUCCAAGCACUUAUCCACUGAGCCAGGCUAUGUUAGAAAAAUCCCACAUUUACAAGAAAGUAAAGACGGAGAUAUUGAGAGAGCCAUGGCAGGGGUCACAGAGGGGUCGUUCAGGCUGCACUUGUGAGCGGCUACAGGGCGUAAUGAGACAAUGGAGGAAUUAGCAUAACAUGAAACAGAUUGUGUCGCUAACUACCAGCCAAAACGGAGCAAAGUUAGGAGGUUAUAGAUCAAUAGAAGGGUGUAAGUGCAGAAAAGGUAGUGACAUUUGGAUAAUUUCUUCUCUGUUCCACUUUGUAUGGUUGGGCCCGGUGGCACAGACAGGGUGGAGAGGCCUCAGCGUUUAGAUGGAGAUGCGCUCCGGCUCCCCUGCACAACAAGAACAUCUUUUGUAAAGAGUGACGCACACAGCGGCAGCCCUGAUAAUGACGGUGUUAUUAAAUGAUUAGUAUAUUCACCCUUAACUGUCCAGAGGCUUUUUGCGUAGAGCAUGAAUAAAACAGGCAUUGCAUUUUUUUUUUUUUUUUUAAAUGAAAAUGCUAAAUUACAUGUUUAGUGAAACGCACACUUGAAAACCAUCCAAUCUUCCAAAUUAAAGUGUUGCAAAUGAAUAACCAAGGAGCCUGAAAUGAAUUGCAGAGGUUUGCGAAUGUAAAGCUUUUGA